AUCGCCAUCUUUGAUUUUUGUUUGUAUACAAUUAGCCUGUACAAGUCCGCAAACAAUUGCUAAUUAUUAAUUGAAUAUUAACAUUUAAACUUUAAUUUUUUAAAAAUAUCAUCUUUCAUAAUUGAUUGAAGUCUAUCAAUGUUAAAAAUAGUUUGUAACCGUCGUAUAAUUAGAGAAUGUGUGUGUAAACUUUGGAAGUGGAAUUCCUAUACGGUCCCAUACAGCUAAGUUUUGAAAAUGAUAAUACUGUAUAUCAUCAUUGGAGAUUAUAACCAUUCAAUCGGAAUCGUAACUUGAUAUUUUAUGCUACAAUAUUCAUUGUAUUUGAAACGGAACGAGCUGAUUCAACUCUUCAUGCAAAGUACAAGUGACCGCGCAGAGGAAUCUCACUGCUUUGAGAAGGAAGCCCUUACCUCCAAUCUCCAGCCAAGGAUUACUUCACAGAAUGACUGCGCAGAGGAAUCUCACUGCUUUGAGAAGGAAGACCUUAUCUCCAAUCUCCAGCCUUGAAUUACUUCACAUCAUGAUGUUAAACAUCGUCGACGGAAUUUACUCGAGGACCGGCAAUCGGCAGGCCACUAUUAAAAAUACUGGGGAUAUUUUUACCGAGAAUAAACAUGUUUUAUUAUUUUUUCAUUCAUCGUUUUAUUUUAUUUUUAUAAUUUUUUCAUGAGUUAUUAAAUUUUAUUUUUUGUUUGCU
rnacentral:lncRNA from 1 species